GGUUAAGCGACUAAGCGUACACGGUGGAUGCCCUGGCAGUCAGAGGCGAUGAAGGACGUGCUAAUCUGCGAUAAGCGUCGGUGAGGUGAUAUGAACCGUUAUAACCGGCGAUUUCCGAAUGGGGAAACCCAGUGUGUUUCGACACACUAUCAUUAACUGAAUCCAUAGGUUAAUGAGGCGAACCGGGGGAACUGAAACAUCUAAGUACCCCGAGGAAAAGAAAUCAACCGAGAUUCCCCCAGUAGCGGCGAGCGAACGGGGAGGAGCCCAGAGCCUGAAUCAGUGUGUGUGUUAGUGGAAGCGUCUGGAAAGGCGCGCGAUACAGGGUGACAGCCCCGUACACAAAAAUGCACAUAUUGUGAGCUCGAUGAGUAGGGCGGGACACGUGGUAUCCUGUCUGAAUAUGGGGGGACCAUCCUCCAAGGCUAAAUACUCCUGACUGACCGAUAGUGAACCAGUACCGUGAGGGAAAGGCGAAAAGAACCCCGGCGAGGGGAGUGAAAAAGAACCUGAAACCGUGUACGUACAAGCAGUGGGAGCCUCUUAAUGGGGUGACUGCGUACCUUUUGUAUAAUGGGUCAGCGACUUAUAUUCUGUAGCAAGGUUAACCGAAUAGGGGAGCCGAAGGGAAACCGAGUCUUAACUGGGCGUUAAGUUGCAGGGUAUAGACCCGAAACCCGGUGAUCUAGCCAUGGGCAGGUUGAAGGUUGGGUAACACUAACUGGAGGACCGAACCGACUAAUGUUGAAAAAUUAGCGGAUGACUUGUGGCUGGGGGUGAAAGGCCAAUCAAACCGGGAGAUAGCUGGUUCUCCCCGAAAGCUAUUUAGGUAGCGCCUCGUGAAUUCAUCUCCGGGGGUAGAGCACUGUUUCGGCAAGGGGGUCAUCCCGACUUACCAACCCGAUGCAAACUGCGAAUACCGGAGAAUGUUAUCACGGGAGACACACGGCGGGUGCUAACGUCCGUCGUGAAGAGGGAAACAACCCAGACCGCCAGCUAAGGUCCCAAAGUCAUGGUUAAGUGGGAAACGAUGUGGGAAGGCCCAGACAGCCAGGAUGUUGGCUUAGAAGCAGCCAUCAUUUAAAGAAAGCGUAAUAGCUCACUGGUCGAGUCGGCCUGCGCGGAAGAUGUAACGGGGCUAAACCAUGCACCGAAGCUGCGGCAGCGACGCUUAUGCGUUGUUGGGUAGGGGAGCGUUCUGUAAGCCUGUGAAGGUGGCCUGUGAGGGUUGCUGGAGGUAUCAGAAGUGCGAAUGCUGACAUAAGUAACGAUAAAGCGGGUGAAAAGCCCGCUCGCCGGAAGACCAAGGGUUCCUGUCCAACGUUAAUCGGGGCAGGGUGAGUCGACCCCUAAGGCGAGGCCGAAAGGCGUAGUCGAUGGGAAACAGGUUAAUAUUCCUGUACUUGGUGUUACUGCGAAGGGGGGACGGAGAAGGCUAUGUUGGCCGGGCGACGGUUGUCCCGGUUUAAGCGUGUAGGCUGGUUUUCCAGGCAAAUCCGGAAAACCAAGGCUGAGGCGUGAUGACGAGGCACUACGGUGCUGAAGCAACAAAUGCCCUGCUUCCAGGAAAAGCCUCUAAGCAUCAGGUAACAUCAAAUCGUACCCCAAACCGACACAGGUGGUCAGGUAGAGAAUACCAAGGCGCUUGAGAGAACUCGGGUGAAGGAACUAGGCAAAAUGGUGCCGUAACUUCGGGAGAAGGCACGCUGAUAUGUAGGUGAAGCGACUUGCUCGUGGAGCUGAAAUCAGUCGAAGAUACCAGCUGGCUGCAACUGUUUAUUAAAAACACAGCACUGUGCAAACACGAAAGUGGACGUAUACGGUGUGACGCCUGCCCGGUGCCGGAAGGUUAAUUGAUGGGGUUAGCGGUAACGCGAAGCUCUUGAUCGAAGCCCCGGUAAACGGCGGCCGUAACUAUAACGGUCCUAAGGUAGCGAAAUUCCUUGUCGGGUAAGUUCCGACCUGCACGAAUGGCGUAAUGAUGGCCAGGCUGUCUCCACCCGAGACUCAGUGAAAUUGAACUCGCUGUGAAGAUGCAGUGUACCCGCGGCAAGACGGAAAGACCCCGUGAACCUUUACUAUAGCUUGACACUGAACAUUGAGCCUUGAUGUGUAGGAUAGGUGGGAGGCUUUGAAGUGUGGACGCCAGUCUGCAUGGAGCCGACCUUGAAAUACCACCCUUUAAUGUUUGAUGUUCUAACGUGGGCCCCUAAUCGGGGUUGCGGACAGUGUCUGGUGGGUAGUUUGACUGGGGCGGUCUCCUCCUAAAGAGUAACGGAGGAGCACGAAGGUUGGCUAAUCCUGGUCGGACAUCAGGAGGUUAGUGCAAUGGCAUAAGCCAGCUUGACUGCGAGCGUGACGGCGCGAGCAGGUGCGAAAGCAGGUCAUAGUGAUCCGGUGGUUCUGAAUGGAAGGGCCAUCGCUCAACGGAUAAAAGGUACUCCGGGGAUAACAGGCUGAUACCGCCCAAGAGUUCAUAUCGACGGCGGUGUUUGGCACCUCGAUGUCGGCUCAUCACAUCCUGGGGCUGAAGUAGGUCCCAAGGGUAUGGCUGUUCGCCAUUUAAAGUGGUACGCGAGCUGGGUUUAGAACGUCGUGAGACAGUUCGGUCCCUAUCUGCCGUGGGCGCUGGAGAACUGAGGGGGGCUGCUCCUAGUACGAGAGGACCGGAGUGGACGCAUCACUGGUGUUCGGGUUGUCAUGCCAAUGGCACUGCCCGGUAGCUAAAUGCGGAAGAGAUAAGUGCUGAAAGCAUCUAAGCACGAAACUUGCCCCGAGAUGAGUUCUCCCUGAGACUUAGAGUCUCCUGAAGGAACGUUGAAGACGACGACGUUGAUAGGCCGGGUGUGUAAGCGCAGCGAUGCGUUGAGCUAACCGGUACUAAUGAACCGUGAGGCUUAACCUU
rnacentral:rRNA from 1 species